AACUGAUUGUGCACCCUUGGUCUGCCCCAGGUGCAAGAUAAAAUGUAUGAGCUCAAACCAUGUCAUUUCGGGUUGCUUAUCAUAAAGAAUUUUCUUCUUCUCCACCCCAGGGAUCCAACUUCUUAGCUCUUGUUAAUAAUCUUCCAUUCUACUCUGCAGGAGAAAGAAAGGAGGAGGGAAGACCCCAGACCUUAGCUGGCAGGCAGCUGAGAAAAAAAAGAAAGCAGGUUGUGCAUCUAAGAAACUCCAGAAAUCAAAAUCACUGCUAUCACUUACUGAAGAUCUUGGGUCAACUCAAAAACCACCAGCUUGCACCAGCUGGGACACUCCCCAGUCCACUGGGAACCUGCCCUGCAGAGAAACAGCAAAGACCUUCGCCCAGAGCUCCCAGUGCAGCGCUAGGAUACGACCAGCAACUGUUCAAGCUCCAGUGACAAAACCACGCGCAAGAGAGAAGAAAGACUUCACAGAGACGACGACCAUGUCUCCAUGUCAGUAUGCUAUGCGUGCUCUGUGAAAGCUAUUGCAGAGGUUGAUAAGGACAGGCCAGGCCUGUCAGCCUGAUCUCAGUACCAGGGAAAGUUAUGGAGCAAAUCAUCUUGGGUGAGAUCACAUGGCACAUGUGUGGCAUCCAGGGGAUCAGGCCCAGCCAGCAUGGCUUCAUGAAAGACAGGUCGUGCUUGACCAACCUCAUCUCCUUCUAUGACUGGGUGAUCAGACUGAUAGAUGAGGGAAAGGCAGUUGAUGUAGUCUACCUAUACUUCAGCAAAGCCUUUGACACAGUCUCUCACACUAUUCUUCUUGGGAAACUGGCUGCCCAUGGCCUGGACAAGUAUACCUUUCUUUGGGUAAGGAACUGGCUGGAGGGUCAUGCCCAGUGAAAAGUGGUUAAUGGAGUUAAGUCCAGCUGGCAACCUGUUACAAGUGGUGACUGCCAGGGGUUGGUACUGGGGCCCAUCUUGUUUAAUAUCUUUAUUGAUGACCUAGAUGAGGAGAUUGAGUGUACAACCAGUAAGUUUGCAGAUGACACCAAGUUGAGAGAUGGUGUUGAUGAAGGGUAGGGAGGCCCUUCAGAGGGAUCUAGAUAUGCUAGAAUGCUGGGCUGAGGUGAAUGGGAUGAAGUUCAACAAGGCCAAGUGCUGGGUCCUGCACUUUGGCCACAAUAACCCAUGCAGCACUAUAGACUUGGGGCAGAGAGGCUGGAUGACUGUGAAGAGGAAAGGGACGUAGGGGUGAUAGUUGAUGCUUGGCUGAACAUGAGCUGUCUCUGGCUUCACAUGGGUUUAACUCACCUAUAUUCAAUAACAAAGCAAAAGAUCUUACAGCAUCAAUGGCAGUGAGCUCAGUACAGAGUCCAUGAACUCUGCCAUGCCCUGGAGAGAUGCCAAAAAGAACUGGUACUGAGCAUUUAGAAAAUUAGGGGAUAAAACAGUC
rnacentral:lncRNA from 1 species